rnacentral:rRNA from 1 species
AUGAACGCUAGCUACAGGCUUAACACAUGCAAGUCGAGGGGCAGCAUGAAUCAAGCUUGCUUGAUUGAUGGCGACCGGCGCACGGGUGCGUAACACGUAUCCAAUCUACCCAUGGCUCAGGGAUAGCCUUUCGAAAGAAAGAUUAAUACCUGAUGGUUUCAUGAGCCCGCAUGGACUUAUGAAUAAAGAUUUAUCGGCGAUGGAUGAGGAUGCGUCCGAUUAGAUAGUAGGCGGGGUAACGGCCCACCUAGUCGACGAUCGGUAGGGGCUCUGAGAGGAGGAUCCCCCACAUUGGAACUGAGACACGGUCCAAACUCCUACGGGAGGCAGCAGUGAGGAAUAUUGGUCAAUGGGCGAGAGCCUGAACCAGCCAAGUAGCGUGAAGGGGAUGACUGCCCUAUGGGUUGUAAACCUCUUUUGUUUGGGAAUAAAGUGAGCCACGUGUGGCUUUUUGUAUGUACCUUACGAAUAAGCAUCGGCUAAUUCCGUGCCAGCAGCUGC